rnacentral:lncRNA from 1 species
CAGUGAUAAGCUGUGUGCAUUAGCUCGUUUAAACUAUUUUUGUUUCUUUAUGUGUCCUCAAUUCCAACUACCCAUUUUUUUUGUCUCAUAUUAAACUUGAAAGUUUUGUUUUAUUUCCUAGAUUGGCUCUCAUAAUAGAGCUUUGGAUACGUUAAUCCAGGCACUUCCUCAGGUUGCAUACCAAGGUAUGGUAUAUCAUCAGAAUCACCAAUUACCCUAAACCAGUGAUGGUGAACCUAUGGCACGCGUGCCACAGGUGGCACGCCGGGCCCUCUCUGUUGGCACGCGGCCAUAGGUCGCCGGGAGAGUGGGCAGCUGGUUGUCUGCAGAGUAGGCAGGCACCUACUCUGCUUCUGUGUUGGGAGGACAGGGGGAGGGCUCUAGGAAGCAGCUCUUCUGUCCUCCCGCGCGAUGCUGUGUGGAGCGUUGCUUCGCAAUGUUUUUAAGCUGGUAUCGACAGGUUUUAUCAACAGACUGAAAAUGAGGAGCAAAGAUGAGGCAGGAUAAAAAAUGACACCAAGACAGCAAGCUUGAAAGGAUGGGGUGAGGCAGGUACCAUCAACCUGCAGGGAGAGUGAAGGAGGAGGAUCAGUAUUAUGAGGAGGAAAAAUAAGAAACUCAGUUUUAGAGAGAUUGAGUUUCAGAAAGUGGGAGGUCAUCCAAUCAGAGAUAGAAGAGAGGCAAUUUGUGACACAUUGUAGGACAGUAGGGGGGAGGUCAGGGGAGGAGAGGGUGUCGUCGGCGUACAGCUGGUAGUGGAAUCUAUAUGAAUUAAUGAGUUUGCCAAGAGAGGCAGUAUAGAGAGAGAACAAAAGGGGACCAAGAACUGAACCUUGAGGUAUGGAGAGGAGGUGUCGUUGGAAAAAGAGACACUGAAGGAGCAUUGGGAGAGAUAGGAGGAGAACCAUGAGAGGGCUGUGUCACAGAGACCAAGAGAUUAAAGAGUUAGGAGAAGGAGGCCAUGAUCAACAGUGUCAAAGGCAGCAGAGAGGUAAAAAAGAAUUUGUAUGUAGUAGUGGCCUUUGGACUUAGCUGCGAUUAGUCAUUUGUAACUUUAAUAAGAGCAGUCUCAGUAGAGUAGAGGGGGCGAACGCCAGAUUGAAGAGGAUCAAGGAGGGAGUUGGAUUUUAGGAAGCGAGCCAUACGAGUAAAGACAAGUCUUUCUAGAAGUUUUGAGUAAAAGGAAGCAGGGAUAUGGGACGACAGUUGGAAGAGGAAGACGGGUCUAGGGAUGGCUUUUUUAGGAUGGGUACGACAGUAGCAUGCUUAAGGGGAGCAGGAACAACACCAGAUGAAAUAGAGCAGUUUAGGAUGUGUGUUAAGGAUGGUACAAGACAAGGGGAGAGAGAUCUUAUAAGGUGGGAAGGUCCUGGAUCAAGCGGACAGGUGGUGGGAUAAGAGGAGACGAGAAGCCACCUCCUGUUCUGUAGCUGGGGAGAAGGACUGUAGGGUAGGGAAGGAACAGUCGAUGUGUGGUUGUGAAAGGGAGGAGCAAAGGGGGGAGAAUUCUUUCCUUAACUGUUCAAUCUUGUCGGUAAAGUAGCAUGCAAGGCUAUCUGCCUAAAAGUCAGUUUGAAGGGUGGCUUGAGGUGGGCGAAGGAGAUAGUUAAAGGUAUUAAAGAGAUGCCUGGGAUUGCGUGAGCAUGAACUAACAAGAGAUGAAAAGUAGGAUUGUUCAGCAAGGGUGAGGGCUGUGCUAUAUGAAGACAAAUUUAAUUUAUAAUGUGCAGGCCUUCCUCCAGCAGCGUUCAGAUGAACAGGAGCAUCUCUGCAGGUAGAGUGUUGACUUAGUGGGCCACGGUUGGAGGCGCGCCCUCCUUGAGGUGCAUGCUUGGAGCGGGGCUACAGCGUCAAGGACAGAGAUGAGGGUAGCGUUAUAUAAGGAGAUAGCAAGAGAGGGACAGGAGAAUGUAGGGAUGGAUGAGAGUUCAGAAUGGAUUACAGUUGAGAACUGCUGGAGAUCAAGAGAAUUCAAAUUCAUAUAUGAGGUGAAAGGCAAAAUUAUAUAAGAUAACGGUGCUAAACCUGAAUGAUAUCUGUCCCCUAUGCCUGUAGGUUAUGAGGCAAAAUGUCUUAUGCCUGCCUAGGGCCCUGGGCAGGAUGCUAGAUUAGGGCCCUGGGCUCAGUUCUCUGAAUGGCUCUGACUGUUAUAUGUGGAUCGUUCAGUGUUGUGCGUGAGUGUGAGAGUGUGUAGUGGCAAAGUGUUGUGUGGUGGAGGAGUCUGAGUGUUUCUAUAUGCUGAUUGAAUGUUGUGAGUGUGUGGCUGCUGAAUUUUUUGAGUGGAUUGGUUUGCAUACCUGAGUGUUGUGUGUGGUGCUAAAAUGUGUCGGGGAAGGAGGUUGAGUGUGUGGGGGCCAGUUUUCAUUUGCAGGAUUCCUCAUAGUCCAGUGGGAGAGUGUUGUGGUCUGCACCUUUAUCCAUGCAGAUCAUUAUAAGAGCUCCUCCACAGAUCUGUUGUUCAUAUUCUGGUGCUGGCUGCAGCACUCUGGGACAUUGAGAAGCAUCCACAGCCGUGAGGGAGCUCUUACAGGCAUACUCAGUGGUGGACCUACCGUGGUCGCAGGCGCGACCAGGCAUGUCACUGCAAGGGGCCCGGCUACCCUGUGCACCCCUACGACCUAGGGACCGCGCGUUCAGGGGCCCAUCGGGUGGCCCAUGCUCUGAGGGCCACCUGAUGGCAAUGCAUUUCAAGGGGCACAGACACAGUGUGACUGUGUCUGUAUGCAUGUCUGUCUGUAUGUACUGUAUAUCUGUUUGUCUGCAUGUGUAUCUGCAUUUGUGUCUGUAUAUCUGUGUAUCUGUAUGUCAGUGUGUGUCCCUAUGUAUCUGUAUGUGUGUCACUGUUUGUAUCUGUAUGUCACUGUUUGCAUCUGUAUGAAUGUCAUUCUGUGCAUGUGAAAGUUUGUCAUGAAGUGUCUGUGUAUCUGCAUGCAUGUCUAUAUGUGUAUCUGUCUGUAUAUUUGUCUGUGUAUCCGCAUGUGUGUCAGUGUUUCUAUCUGAAUGUAUGUCAUCCUGUGUGUCUGUAUCUGCAUGUGUGUCUGUGUGUAUAUAUGUGUCUGUGUAUCUGUAUGUGUGUUUGUUUGUGUGUCUGUGUAUCUGCAUGUGUGUCAGUGUAUGUAUCUGUAUGUGUUAUAUGGUGUGCAUCUGCAUGUAUGUCAGUGAGUGUUUGUCUGUUUAUCUGCAUGUGUGUCAGUGUAUGCACCUGUGUAACUGUCACAGCACCACACAUACUGUCACCCCCCCUUCACCUUGCCACACUCACAAUAAUUCCCCCAAUCCUGUCACUCACUCGUGCCAUACUCCUCUCCCAUCAUUCUGCCAUACUCACCCUAUCACACUCACCUACUCUAGCACUGUCACACUCACCCCCAAAUCCUGUCACACUCAUUCUCUAUCACUCUGUCAUACUCACCCUAUCACACUAACCCCUCCAAUUCUGUCACACUCAUCCCCCCAAGAGAUGUAUGGUAGGGCCCCAGAGCAAUUUUCACACUGGGGCCCCGUGGUUUGUAGUUACACCUAUGGGCACACUAUAGCAUUAGAAAAACAAACCUGUAUACAUAAUGCUAUAGUGUUCCCAUCUUUAUUUAGAUUUAGCUCCCCCACCCCAUGAGAGGGUGCAUAUUAAUUGUUAUGCUUAGGGCAGCGGGCUAAUAAGUCCCCAGUAUUCCCUUUCCCAUUACAGUUUUGUUUUUUUCACAUAAGGGCUUUAGUUGUAUCUGAAAGAGUGAACAAUUUUGGAGUAUCGCUGACUGCAGUUAAUUGAGGGGGAAACUGGGCAGUAAGUUUUAAGUAAAAUCAGGAAUUCAGACAUUGCAUCAGAGGUUGUUGGAUACAAAGUUUAUUGAGGUGUAAAGCAAGGCUAAUGAGCUUCCCUCUAAUAAGUGGUUUCAUGGCAGCACAUAAUGAUAUGGGGUGGACGCCAAAACUGGUUACUAUCAAACUAGUCAAUGAGAUCCUUAGAAAUUGUGACAACUUUUACUGUAUACAUUCGGAAUGGGUUCAAGCUCCAUGUUAAUGGUCAAUCAAGGAUAGGUAUUGUUAACAUUAAGGAGAUGUACACAUGAUCAGACCAUGAGAUGGAUGCUAUCUUUGAGUCAUUGGGGAAAUUAGAAAAUUAUCCAUCUUGGAGUAGGAUUGGUGUAGAAAGGUGUUGGAUUAUGCCACUUAUAGUUUUAAUAACUAACACAGCACAUUGCAUAGUGUAGGCUCAGCUGCCCAGAUAAAACAAAAACAAUAAAAGGCUGCGCACAUAAAAUAAUUUACCAUCAGCUGCCCAGAGCCCAUUAUCUUCUUUAAAAUACUCAGUCACUCUGUAGCUGAGACCCAAGACACAUGCUGUGGCAUAGUUUAACAUUUGUGAAGCUCUACACUGCAGGACUAGGGCUGUGACUCUGAGGACUGAGCUGGUUCUUAUACUUUCAAUCUGUAACAGUUGUUGCUUCUUUUAACCAUUUGAAUUACUUUGUGGCUCUACAUUACCACUACAGAUCAAAUCACAUUGCCAGGAGCCAGCUGACAUGUUUCAUUGCAGCAGCAAUAUUUGCUAGAAAGCCGAAGUUGUUAUAACAGGGGCACUACAAAGGAUGAGACCAUAAAUGGAAGAACAAGAGGCCCAGAGAGGGCUAGAGAGCUAAAGUUGGAAAAGGCUUGAACAUUAUAGAAAUAUAUUGUACUGUAUGGUUAACUCUGUAUUGCAGUUCUGGGUAAUCCGUCACAGUGACCGUGGCUUUGUGAGUUAGUAUAUUACAUUUAUUUAUUACUGGCAUUUUUAAAGCACCAACAUAUUCCACAGCGCUGUACAAUUAGUAGGAAAAAACAAAAUAAUACAAUCUACACAGAACAAUACAAAAGGUAAAGAAGGUCCUGCCCGUGAGCUGAGAUCUAGUCAAUGAAGUUCUUUUACACAAAGUGCCCAGUUAGAUAGCUCAUGAGCUUACAAUCUAAAGGGUAUAAUUGGGAUUUAAGACAAAGGGUAGAACUGGGAAUUUGAAAAUGAUAGCCAGAGGAAAGUUGCAGCUACUGUUAAUGUGUAAUGGGGAUGAGGGACUAGUUGAGUAAGAUCAUCCUUUGAUAGGUUGAAUAUAUUUUUAUUGUUCUUUUUUUGAUUUAUAGGUCAAUCAGCACCCUUAUCUGUUGAUCUACAAGGAAUACUAACCGUUUACCUGAAACAUUAUUAUACAUACAAAGGUUCCCUUACCACUCCUGCCUGCUCUGAGAACGUUACCUGGCACAUCGUGCACUCUAUCCAAACCCUUUCUUUGGAACAGGUAAAAUAAGGAUGAAAAGUGGGGGCAGUUGGGGGGAAAGGUGAAACAAAUCUGCUUCCUGUUAAGCAGUGGGACGGCGGUGGUCCUUAGUUAUAUAGAGGUAUCAGUCUGCUCACAUGGCCAGCAGGGACUUUAUAGGCAUCUAAACAACUUUGGCUUGGUGUUUUGCUGUAUAGAUCACGUUUUGGUGUAUAGAUCACGCCCCUGGAGUCUCAUUGAUCACUUUUCUGCCAUUUAGGAGUUAGAUACUUUUUUUUCUGUUUAUGCAGCCCUGGCGGUUUCAUUUUCGAUUAAAUGUAACUUACUUUAGAAGUUUUUAUCUCCUGCUCUGUAAAUUGUAUUCACACAUAAGAAGCUCCUAUAGAGUUUAGGAGGCUAUUAACAGAGCAGGAGAAGAAAUUCUAGAUUAAACCGACUGUGUAAGACAGGAACCUACAAUAUCUAGGUUACUUUUUUUCUCAAGUGUUUAGGAAGGCUGUGUAAGUCACAUGCAAUGAGGUUUGACUUGCGCUCAGUAAACAGUGAUUUAACUCCUAAAUGAGAGAGAACUGAGUAGUGAGACUGCAGGGUGUGAUCUAUACACCAAAACUGCUUUAUUAAGCUAAAGUUAUUUUGGUGUCUAUAGUGUCCUUAAGCAACUGGGCAGCCAUAGCUAUUCAAUUUCUAAUCACUCUAACCUGUAGCAUUGGGAUGACAUUCCUUUAAACACUACAGUAAAAGGUCUACUAGUAAUUUACUCCUAUACCAGAGUCAUGACUAUUAGGUCGGGGAGGGUGUAAAGGAACAUUCCAAGCACAUAAACAACUACAGAGAGCUGCAGUGGGUAUGGUUCCAAUAGGGCCCUAAUAACCCCAUCGUCCACCUGUUCCCUAUUGUAAGUAGUUUGUCCUUCUGACUUCUUAAAAGGGGUCCAUGAGGACCCACUCCCUGCAUCCAUUACUUCUGUCCACGACUAAGCAAUAUCCAUUGCUAAACUCCCAAAUUCUGGUACAUUAAUCGUGGCUGUGGAGGACAAAAUGCUCUCUGUGAGUAUAUGGGAAUGCUUAGAUCCUCAUAUACAUUUGUUUCUUGUAAACUAAAUGGCAGGAGUCCCCAAGAAUCCUGAUAUUUUGCACUAGUGCUAUGUAUAAUUUAUUUAAGGAAUAUUAAUGUGAAGGUGGUCCAGGUCUACAUUGAAAGAUACAUGACUGCAGUAUAAUGAUAUCCAUACCAUUUAAACCAUUUUAACUUAAAAGGUUACCAUUUCACUUUAAACAAAACUGAUUACCCAUUGCAGGACUACAGAAAAGGCUCUUUGCUAGAAAGUCUCUUUUUUUUGCAGCCCCAUAGGUCUUCAAAGGUCAUGGCUCGGUAGUUGUUCAGCUUACAUUAAUUUACACCAUGCCAAUUGAACAAGUAACCUUUAGCAUAUAAAACCAGGUAUGAUUAUAUCUAUAUUAAUAUAUUUUUGUUUCCACAGUAUUCGGCAAUUGCCAGUUCUCUUUAUUACACCGCAGUGGACUCUACACACCCAGAGCACAUGAUAAACAACUUUAGACCAGUACAACCACUCAAUGGAAGAACAGUAUAUCGCCCUCAGUAUUAAACUCGUUCACGUGCAUGAUAGAGGAAUUGAUUCUCUAUUAUGACCCACAAUUACUAAAGUACCAGCAGGGAAAUAGCUUCAUUUAUUUUCCUCAUUAUUUUGUUUCCUCCUUUAUUCUGAAAUGUAUUGUUCUACCUUGAUCUCCCCCUGACCUUCCAACAUUACAGACAUGCAUUGUCAUAUAAAAAAAAACAUGGCAAAUAAAUGAAACGCUGGUAAUGGCUUAUUAAAAGUAUAUAUUAUUUGAAAGAUCAUAUCAUACUUUGGAAUAUCUGAUUUAAAAUAACUCAGUUUACAAAUUAAUGGAAUUAUUGGCCUCUCCUUGACCAAAGGAGCAUUAUAUUUAAAGGGACACUCUGGGCACCAUAACAACGUCAUUGAAAUUAAGUUGUUAUGAUGCCAGGAGGUCUCUGGCGCCUAUUUAGCUGAAGGUGUUAAAUAGUUUUUGAGCAGUUCAGCACUGGAUCUCCCUUUUCCCAGUGUUAUCUGGCUUCUUCAAUUGACUUCCAGGAUAAGAGUGCAAAGUGCUGCUAGGAAGGUUGUACCUAUUUUUAGAAUUGGGGAGCUACUGAUUGGCUUAGAGCAUCAAUUGACUUCACUCUGCACAUCCUGAAACUAAAUUGAAGUAGCCAGAUGCUGGGAAAGGGAGAUCUGGUGCUAGAGGCAACCUUUGGGAUUAAGGUAAGAAAGCACCAGGGACCUCCUGGCACCAUUACAACCACAACAACCUAAUUAUGAUUAAAAUGUUAUGGUGCCGGAGUGUCCCUUAAACCCCACUUUGGUUGUCGUGGCCACAGAGUAUAAGAACACAUUUUCUCCUGGUGUCUUGUGUCCAGAGGUAGGUCAGGUUUUUAAGGUUGUAAUUUUGUUUGACUAACAUACAAACGUAGACAGUAUUUGGACACCAGGAGCUCUGGAACAAGAAUUUUGCUUACAUAGUGCAGAUGUUAGGAAAUAUUAGAUUAAAAGGGCAAAGUACAGGUAAGCCUACCUCUCAACAGUGGGAGGUAUGGAAUCGAGAUAAGGUGCACAUACCAACUUGCAUCACUGACAAAGCCCACAGUGGGUGGGCCAGUGCAGAAUAGUGUGGGCUUGCUUACUGACAGCCAUCCAGAUGGACCCCAGCCUUCAGGACCAUGGAGGUAGCGCUGCUGAAGUGCUCCCUGCGUGGUUACAGUGCCUGCUACACAGAGCGAGCACAAUUAAUGAUGUGAUCUCACUGGGCUGUCCAGCCUUGCCUGGUGAACCAGAUACAAGACAACAAAGAACUUAAGCGGGAUGGCAGAACAGGACUCCAAACGCAGGAUUGUUUUGAGUCAUUGGUUAGACUUCUACCAGGGAAAAACAGGUUGAAAGAUGGUAAAAGACAUAUAAGCUUUCUUUAGGAUGGCCAUGAUUACUGAUAAAGCCAGUGUGCAGAGAUAAAGGUCUAGUCAAAUAACAGGACAACCAGAAGAGUAACAACUCGACUAAACUACCUGGAUCCAGACAACAGAAAUCGGACAGACAUGCUAUUGGGUGCAAAAAAAUAAAAUAUCACAAAAGGGACACAGUCCAUCAGAAUUACACUAUCAACUUGCAUCAAAUUUAUAUACUUACUAUAAACUUAUUCAGAUUACCGUGUCUGGCACGCCUCUCAGCUAGUGGAGUUACUUCAGCCUCCUCCCUUGCCUCUCAUUGACCCACUCUUUCACCUAUCUCAGUUUCACGUGUCAAUGAAACAGUUUCACAUGUUUCAACGUCAAUGCACCCCAUAUGUAGCAGGUCCUAAUCUAACAGCCUAAUGCUGUUAUGAGAUUACAUACAUUUACUUUGAUUACAUUUUUUUCCAUAUGGAGCUUUCUGCAGUACAAGGGUAGAUAGGGUCCUGGAAUGAGACACAUAUGACAGGGAGGGGUGCAAAACCAAUGACUUGGCCUAGAGUCCUAAAUAUAUUUAUGAAACCAGGGGACUGCACUUACCUGAACAUGCAUAAAUGGGGUGCUGCUGGGGCAAAUUCAUACAAUACACAAGAUCAAGCCCACUCAAUCAUCCAAUAAACAGCAACUUCAAAGUUCAGAUUUUUAUUUUUUUUUAAUUUAAACAUCUAAUCUAGGCAAGAAUAAUUGGAGUACAGUAUAUAUAUAUACACAUACACACACUGCUCAAAAAAAAAAUAAAGGGAACACUUAAACAACACAAUGUAACUCCAAGUCAAUCACACUUCUGUGAAAUCAAACUGUCCACUUAGGAAGCAACACUGAAUGACAAUCAAUUUCACAUGCUGUUGUGCAAUGGGAUAGACAACAGGUGGAAAUUAUAGGCAAUUAGCAAGACACCCCCAAUACAGGAGUGGUUCUGCAGGUGAUGACCACAAACCAUCUGUCACCUCAUCAAGAGCAUGCACAGGCGCUGUAGGGAGGUCAUACUGGCACGUGGAGGAAGAGGUUCUAUUUCAACUGUCAAAAGUAAAGACAAAUAAGUUAAUGGGGCCUGAUGCAAUACACCCAAAGUUAUUAAAAGAACUUAGUGGUGUACUAGCAAAACCAUUAACUUUAGCCAAUCAUUGUUAACAGGUGUAGUCCCAGAAGAUUGGAAAUUAGUGAAUGUUGUGCCCAUUCAUAAGAAAGGUAGUAGGGAGGAGUCAGGCAACUAUAGGUCAGUAAGCCUUACUUCAGUCGUGGGGAAAGUAAUGGAAACCAUGUUAAAGAAUAGAAUUGUUGAACAUCUAAAAUCAAAUGGAUUUCAAGAUCAGAGACAACAUGGGUUCAGGGAGAUCAUGCCAAACUAAUCUAAUUAAUUUUUUUGAUUGGGUAACCAAAAUAAUAGAUCAGGGUGGUGCAGUAGACAUUGCUUACCUAGAUUUCAGUAAGGCGUUUGACACUGUUGCACAUAGAGGGCUCAUCAAUAAACUGCAAUCUUUAAGUUUUGAUUCCAAUUUUGUUGAAUGGGUUGGGCAGUGGCUAAAUGACAGGCAACAGAGGGUUGUAGUCAACAUAGUAUAUUUGAAGCUUGGGCUUGUCACCGGUGGGGUACCUCAGGGAUCUGUACUUGGACCCAUUCUCUUUAAUUUUUUUUAUUAGUGAUAUUGCAGAAGGUCUUGAUGGUAAGGUAUGUCUUUUUGCUGAUGAUACCAAGAUAUGUAACAGGGUUGAUGUUCCAGGAGGGAUAAGCCAAAUAUAAAAUGAUUUAGAAAAAAUAGAAAAAUGGUCAGAGCUGUGGCAACUGACAUUUAAUGUGGAUAAGUGCAAGAUAAUGCACCUUGGACGUAAAAACCCAAGGGCAAAAGAUAGAUACCCUGCUAACCUCAACAUCUGAGGAAAGGGAUUUAGGAGUAAUUAUUUCAGAUGACUUAAAGGUAGGCAGACAAUGUAAUAGAGCAGCAGGAAAUGCUUGCAGAAUGCUCGGUUGUAUAGGGAGAGGUAUUAGCAGUAGAAAGAGAGAAGUGCUCAUGCCAUUGUACAGAACACUGGUGAGACCUCACUUGGAGUAUUGUACACAGUACUGGAGACCGUAUCUUCAGAAGGAUAUUGAUACUUUUGAGAGAGUUCAGAGAAGGGCUACUAAACUGGUUCAUGGAUUGCAGGAUAAAACUUACCAGGAAAGGUUAAAGGAACUUAACAUGUAUAGCUUGGAGGAAAGACGAGACAGGGGGGAUAUGAUAGAAACAUUUAAAUACAUUAAGGGAAUUAACAAAGUAAAGGAGGAGACAAUAUUUAAAACUAGGAGAACUACCACAACAAGAGGACAUAGUCUUAAAUUAGAGGGGCAAAGGUUUAAAAAUAAUUUCAGGAAGUAUUAGUUUACUGAGUGGGUAGUGGAUGCAUGGAAUAGCCUUCCAGCUGAAGUGGUAGAGGUUAAAGCUAUCCUAGACUUAUGUGUGGGAUAGGCAUAAAGCUAUCCUAGACUUAAGAUAAGGCCAGGGACUAAUUAAAAGUAUUUUGAAAUAUUAGGCAGACUAGAUGGGCCGAAUGGUUCUUAUCUGCCGUCACAUUCAAUGUUUCUAUGUUUAUCUUGGUCUCAUCGGACCACAGGACAUGGUUCCAGUAAUUCAUGUCCUUAAUGUGCUUGUCUUCAGCAAACGGUUUGCGGGCUUUCUUGUGCAUCAUUUUUAGAAGAGGCUUCCUUCUGGGACGACAGCCAUGCAGACCAAUUUGAUGCAGUGUGUCACGUAUGGUCUCAGCACUGACAGGCUUACCCCCCACCCCUUCAACCUCUGCAGCAAUGCUGGCAGCACUCAUACGUCUAUUUCCCAAAGACAACCUAUGGAUAUAACGCUGAGCAUGUGCACUCAACUUUUUUGGUCGACCAUGGCGAGGCCUGUUCUCAGUGGAACCUGUCCUGUGAAACCGCUGUAUGGUCCUGCCCACCAUGCUGCAGCCCAGUUUCAGGGUCUUGGCGAUCUUCUUAUAGCCAAGGCCAUCUUUAUGUAGAGCAAUAAUAAUUUUUUUCUUCCAGUGGUCAGUAUGAGAGAGAUAACACCAAAUUUAACACACCUGCUCCCCAUUCACACCUGAGACCUUGUAACACCUUGUAACACUAAUGAGUCACAUGACACCGAGGAGGUAAAAUGGCUAAUUGCACCUAAUUGGGCCCAAUUUGGACAUUUCCACUUAGGGGUGUACUCACUUUUGUUGCCAACAGUUUAGACAUUAAUGGCUGUGUGCUGAGUUAUUUUAAGGGGAUAGCAAAUUUACACUGUUAUAUAGGCUGUACACUUACUACUUUACAUUGUAGCAGAGUGCCAUUUCUUCAGUGUUGUCACAUGAAAAG